rnacentral:rRNA from 1 species
CAUUACCUAGAGUUGUAGGCUUUGCCUGCUAUCUCUUACCCAUGUCUUUUGAGUACCUUCGUUUCCUCGGCGGGUUCGCCCGCCGAUUGGACAAUUUAAACCAUUUGCAGUUGCAAUCAGCGUCUGAAAAAACAUAAUAGUUACAACUUUCAACAACGGAUCUCUUGGUUCUGGCAUCGAUGAAGAACGCAGCGAAAUGCGAUAAGUAGUGUGAAUUGCAGAAUUCAGUGAAUCAUCGAAUCUUUGAACGCACAUUGCGCCCCUUGGUAUUCCAUGGGGCAUGCCUGUUCGAGCGUCAUUUGUACCUUCAAGCUCUGCUUGGUGUUGGGUGUUUGUCUCGCCUCUGCGUGUAGACUCGCCUCAAAACAAUUGGCAGCCGGCGUAUUGAUUUCGGAGCGCAGUACAUCUCGCGCUUUGCACUCAGAACGACGACGUCCAAAAGUACAUUUUUACACUCUUGACCU